GCUUCGGGGUGUGGUGAAAGUCCAUACCGGCGGUGAUGCGGCAUAUGCCGACAAGCCCGCGAACCCGCGCUUUGCUGGCCGAGCCGGUGAGAUUCCGGAGCCGACGGUUACAGUCCGGAUGGUAGAAGC
rnacentral:ncRNA from 1 species